rnacentral:rRNA from 1 species
UCAGGCCUAACACAUGCAAGUCGAGCGGUAACAUUUCAAAAGCUUGCUUUUGAAGAUGACGAGCGGCGGACGGGUGAGUAAUGCCUGGGAAUUUGCCCAUUUGUGGGGGAUAACAGUUGGAAACGACUGCUAAUACCGCAUACGCCCUACGGGGGAAAGCAGGGGACCUUCGGGCCUUGCGCUGAUGGAUAAGCCCAGGUGGGAUUAGCUAGUAGGUGAGGUAAUGGCUCACCUAGGCAACGAUCCCUAGCUGGUCUGAGAGGAUGAUCAGCCACACUGGGACUGAGACACGGCCCAGACUCCUACGGGAGGCAGCAGUGGGGAAUAUUGCACAAUGGGGGGAACCCUGAUGCAGCCAUGCCGCGUGUGUGAAGAAGGCCUUCGGGUUGUAAAGCACUUUCAGCGAGGAGGAAAGGGUGUAAGUUAAUACCUUACAUCUGUGACGUUACUCGCAGAAGAAGCACCGGCUAACUCCGUGCCAGCAGCCGCGGUAAUACGGAGGGUGCGAGCGUUAAUCGGAAUUACUGGGCGUAAAGCGUGCGCAGGCGGUUUGUUAAGCGAGAUGUGAAAGCCCCGGGCUCAACUGGGAACCGCAUUUCGAACUGGCAAACUANAGUCUUGUAGAGG